UAAAGCUGGGAGGAGAAAAGACACCUUCCAAGACCGCACUGCUUUCAGUGAGAGGGCCACCAUUCAAAUCCACAUCUAUUGCCACUAAAAAGCACCAAUAAGCUACCUCUCCUCACAGUGAGGACUUCCACUUUCCUGGAAACAUGACGGAUGAAUGAGCUAAAUGGCACCAAGAGGAAGUAACCCAACAAAUCCAGAAGUGGGGGGCUUCUGGCAGGAUGUCAGACUACACUGUCAUUGUAUGUCAACUACACUGCAAUAAAACUGCUACAAUGUUAAA